rnacentral:rRNA from 1 species
GACAGAGGAUGCAAGCGUUAUCCGGAAUGAUUGGGCGUAAAGCGUCUGUAGGUGGCUUUUCAAGUCCGCCGUCAAAUCCCAGGGCUCAACCCUGGACAGGCGGUGGAAACUACCAAGCUGGAGUACGGUAGGGGCAGAGGGAAUUUCCGGUGGAGCGGUAGAAUGACAUUGAGAUCGGAAAGAACACCACGGCGAAGCACUACGUGCUGGGCCGACG